AGAGUAGAGCGGCGGACGGGUGAGUAACGCGUAGGAAUCUACCUGGUAGUGGGGGACAACUCGGGGAAACUCGAGCUAAUACCGCAUACGCCCUACGGGGGAAAGCGGGGGAUCUUCGGACCUCGCGCUAUCGGAUGAGCCUGCGUUGGAUUAGCUAGUUGGUGGGGUAAAGGCCCACCAAGGCGACGAUCCAUAGCUGGUCUGAGAGGAUGAUCAGCCACACCGGGACUGAGACACGGCCCGG
rnacentral:rRNA from 1 species